rnacentral:rRNA from 1 species
CAGCAGCCGCGGGAAUACGAAGGGGGCUAGCGUUGCUCGGAAUUACUGGGCGUAAAGGGCGCGUAGGCGGGUGUUUAAGUCAGAGGUGAAAGCCCAGGGCUCAACCUUGGAACUGCCUUUGAUACUGGACAUCUUGAGUAUGGGAGAGGUGAGUGGAACUCCGAGUGUAGAGGUGAAAUUCGUAGAUAUUCGGAAGAACACCAGUGGCGAAGGCGACUCACUGGCCCAUUACUGACGCUGAGGCGCGAAAGCGUGGGGAGCAAACAGGAUUAGAUACCCGUGUAGUCCCUGUCUCUUAUAC